rnacentral:rRNA from 1 species
AUUGAACGCUGGCGGAAUACUUUACACAUGCAAGUCGAGCGGCAGCACGGUCUUCGGUCUGGUGGCGAGUGGCGAACGGGUGAGUAAUGUAUCGGAACGUGCCCAGUCGUGGGGGAUAACGUAGUGAAAAUUACGCUAAUACCGCAUACGAUCUAUGGAUGAAAGCGGGGGAUCGCAAGACCUCGCGCGAUUGGAGCGGCCGAUAUCAGAUUAGGUAGUUGGUGGGGUAAAGGCCCACCAAGCCAACGAUCUGUAGCUGGUCUGAGAGGACGACCAGCCACACUGGAACUGAGACACGGUCCAGACUCCUACGGGAGGCAGCAGUGGGGAAUUUUGGACAAUGGGCGAAAGCCUGAUCCAGCCAUUCCGCGUGCAGGAUGAAGGCCCUCGGGUUGUAAACUGCUUUUGUACAGAACGAAAAGGUUUCUACUAAUACUAGGAGCUCAUGACGGUACUGUAGGAAUAAGCACCGGCUAACUACGUGCCAGCCGCCGCCGUAA